rnacentral:misc_RNA from 1 species
GCCCGUCACACCAUGGGAGUGGGUUGCUCCAGAAGUAGCUAGUCUAACCGCAAGGGGGACGGUUACCACGGAGUGAUUCAUGACUGGGGUGAAGUCGUAACAAGGUAGCCGUAGGGGAACCUGCGGCUGGAUCACCUCCUUAAUCGAAGAUCCCGGCUUCUUCAUAAGCUCCCACACGAAUUGCUUGAUUCACUGGUUAGACGAUUGGGUCUGUAGCUCAGUUGGUUAGAGCGCACCCCUGAUAAGGGUGAGGUCGGCAGUUCGAAUCUGCCCAGACCCACCAAUUGUUGGUGUGCUGCGUGAUCCGAUACGGGGCCAUAGCUCAGCUGGGAGAGCGCCUGCUUUGCACGCAGGAGGUCAGGAGUUCGAUCCUCCUUGGCUCCACCAUCUAAAACAAUCGUCGAAAGCUCAGAAAUGAAUGUUCGUAGAUGAACAUUGAUUUCUGGUCUUUGCACCAGAACUGUUCUUUAAAAAUUCGGGUAUGUGAUAGAAGUAAGACUGAAUGAUCUCUUUCACUGGUGAUCAUUCAAGUCAAGGUAAAAUUUGCGAGUUCAAGCGCGAAUUUUCGGCGAAUGUCGUCUUCACAGUAUAACCAGAUUGCUUGGGGUUAUAUGGUCAAGUGAAGAAGCGCAUACGGUGGAUGCCUUGGCCCCAGAGGCG